rnacentral:sRNA from 1 species
GUUAUUAUCCCCAUAUUUAAAAUGGAGGAAGGCCAGAGAGGUAAAGUGGCUUAUCCUAGGACACCCAGCUAGUGAAGGCCACCAGAGCCAGGAUGCCUGAUUCUAAGUCAAGAGAAUUUCUACCACCCCACACUGGCAGCCGAAGGAGGCAGGCAGGGCAGCAAACAGGCAAUUUCCUUCCUUCUCUCCCUGGAAAGAUGACAGCCGUGACGCCAGUCCUCCUGAGCCCGCCAGCCCCACCAUCGGCCUCGAUAAGAAGACUCGCCGAAAGUUCCUGGACCUGGGGGUCACCCUGCGCCGAGCAUCCACGGGCAAGAGCCGGAAGGAGAAAGGCAGCAACCGACUGUCCAUGGGCAGCAGGGAGUCAGUGGAGGGGUCCGGCAGGUCAGGGGGCUCCCCGUUCCUGCCUUUUUCCUGGUUCACGGACAGCGGCAAGGGCUCAGCAUCCUUGGGUAGCACCACCUCCCCCGCCUGCUCCCCUAAACACGAGGGCUUCAGCCCUAAGAAGUCAGCUUCCCAGGAAUCCACUCUGAGUGAUGACUCCACGCCCCCCACCAGCAGCCCCAAGAUCCCCAGUGGGCCCCGGCAGGAGGCCAAAU